GCUCUCUUAGCUCAGCGGUUAGAGCGUUCGACUGUUAAUCGAAAGGUCGCUGGUUCAAUCCCAGCAGGGAGCG
rnacentral:tRNA from 1 species